AUGUUCCCCACUUUCCCUUGUCCCCCAUUCAUGCUCCCCACUCGUCCUAAAAAAUAUUUCUUCCACCCACUCUUCAUUAUUACCUCUGCAUAAAUUAUACCAUACACACUUCAAAUCCUUCUACACUGGAAAAGGGAGAAACAAAAACACUACCCUACAGCCUUCUUCCUCUAUCGCCAACCAGCAACAUCCAGCUCCACCAACAGACCACCCAUUUCUGUCGUCACCCAUACCAAAUGAACCCGCCAUCUCCUCACGUCCAAACACCAGCAGCCGUAGACUAGCUCUCUACCAUAGACACCGACCAGCAGACUCCGGGCGUCGACCAGCAGCAUCCGCGACCAGACCCGUCAUCAACAACCAUUUCUGUCCUUCAACCAGCGACUGUCACACUCCGCCAAGGACCCCAAAAUCCAGCUGAAACCCCACCUAAAACAGUCCCUAACCAUCCCUAAAACCACCAAAGCUUCAGUGAUAAAACCACCCGAAACAGCCACUCUUGCUAUGUCAAAAUAGAUGUUUACCGGCGAGUCGAGUUCCUUAUUUGAAGUCGUUGUUCGCUUCUGCUUGUGGUUCGAUUUUGUUGGGCUGUUUGUUUAUGUCUGCCUCACCUCUCAUGCUCAAAGGCACUGUUCCAUAAAAUUUUGCUCAAAUGCUGGAAUAUAUCAUGGAUUAAUGUAUGAGUUCUAUUAUUUUAUUCUGAUAAGUGUUUUGAUUAAAUGUUGUAGUUUAUACGGACUGAUUGCUUGAGCAUGUUUUCUGUUCAUUUUGUGGGAUAAAUUCGUUUGUUAUGCUAUUGGUUUAAAGCUUUAUCCAUAGCAUGCUUUGUUUCUUUAGUCCAUAAAUAAAAGUUUAUUUUUUAUUUUUUGGCUUUUAGUUAAUUUGCUUAAAAUAAUUUAGUUAUCUUUAGUAGUUUAGUUUUAUAGGAAAUGUAGCUCCAUGAAUAGCUAAGACGUG
rnacentral:lncRNA from 1 species